UGAGUGGUGCUGUCUACCAGCUGGACC
rnacentral:piRNA from 1 species